rnacentral:rRNA from 1 species
CCUACGGGAGGCUGCAGUGGGGAAUAUUGCACAAUGGGCGCAAGCCUGAUGCAGCCAUGCCGCGUGUGUGAAGAAGGCCUUCGGGUUGUAAAGCACUUUCAGCGGGGAGGAAGGCGGUGAGGUUAAUAACCUCAUCGAUUGACGUUACCCGCAGAAGAAGCACCGGCUAACUCCGUGCCAGCAGCCACGGUAAUACGGAGGGUGCAAGCGUUAAUCGGAAUUACUGGGCGUAAAGCGCACGCAGGCGGUCUGUCGAGUCGGAUGUGAAAUCCCCGGGCUCAACCUGGGAACUGCAUUCGAAACUGGCAGGCUAGAGUCUUGUAGAGGGGGGUAGAAUUCCAGGUGUAGCGGUGAAAUGCGUAGAGAUCUGGAGGAAUACCGGUGGCGAAGGCGGCCCCCUGGACAAAGACUGACGCUCAGGUGCGAAAGCGUGGGGAGCAAACAGGAUUAGAUACCCCGGUAGUC